UUAAAGAGGUCCGGAAGCCAAAUUUUCCGAGCAGCUUCUUAGCUUGUUAUUACCUAACAGACUACCAGAUUGAUUAGUAUUGAUCUCCUGCCAUGGCUUCGCUGGAGGCUGAGCGGCUGCACGCCUCGCCUCUCUAGUUCUUGGAGGACCUGAGGUAAAGGAAAUGGAACGGACGGCAGAGGGUCCCUUGAGCUGAUGAGAGUGACACCAGCGCUUCCCCAGGGCUCCAGGGAUGCUGUCCCUGCAAAUAGUAAAUUCUGCCUGCUCUGACUCUGGUCCUGUCUCCAGUCCGUCUUCUCGUCAGUCCUGCUACUCUGUCCUGGAUUCCCCACUCGACGCUCCCUUGGAUUCCCCUCUGGACCUGCUUACCCUGUCCCAACACCUUC